rnacentral:rRNA from 1 species
GUGGGGAAUAUUGGGCAAUGGGGGGAACCCUGACCCAGCGACGCCGCGUGGGUGAAGAAAUCCUUCGGGAUGUAAAGCCCUGUUGUAUGGGAAGAGCGGAAGACGGUACCAUACGAGGAAGCCCCGGCAAACUACGUGCCAGCAGCCGCGGUAAUACGUAGGGGGCAAGCGUUGUCCGGAAUUACUGGGCGUAAAGCGCACGCAGGCUGAAUUAUAAGUCGGUAGUAAAAGGCGGGGGCUCAACUUCCGUAUAUCUAUCGAUACUGUAAAUCUAGAGUAUGUGAGAGGGAAGCGGAAUUACCGGUGUAGCGGUGAAAUGCAUAGAUAUCGGGAGGAACACCAGUGGCGAAGGCGGCUUCCUGGCACAAUACUGACGCUCAUGUGCGAAAGCUAGGGCAGCGAACGGGAUUAGAAACCCUGGUAGUCC